ACUUUUAAAGGAUAAUAGGAAUCCACUGGUCUUAGGAGCCAUCCAUCUUGGUGCAAAUCCAAGUAAAAGUA
rnacentral:tRNA from 1 species